GUGCUUUUAGGAGACACAGGAAGCAGGUUUCCUACAGGUUGACGUUUUCUUAGCCAACAAUAAAUCCAAAUAAAAAAACCACAACAAUAACACAGACACAAAGAGCACAUCCAUCCACAUGAACGCAAGAUUUUACGUGGAAAACCCUAUUUCGAGGGAAAAACCACGGGACCAACUCCGAGAAAAAAUCCACUAUAACAAAGGUUUAACAGUCUCACAGCAACAAAUUCCUCACCCUCUCCAACAAUGGGUUUCAAACAAAAAGAAAGAGGUAAAGCUACGCUGAAAAGACCCAGAGAAGGAGUCCUCUCAUCGAUGAGAACCGUUCAUGCAUAGCAUACAGCAAUCCAUUAGUGUAUAGAAAAUAAGUUGAAAGUAAAUGACAGUGUUCUGCGAGGAAACACACAGCUCACCACUGAUUUGAGAUGCAGCCUUUCAUUUGCCCUCUCCACAGGCUUGUAAAGUACAGUUUGCCCGCAUAAAUGAACAUCAGACACCGAAUUGCAUCCAAGAAUAAUAGAAUGCCUGUAAGUCCCCUUAACUUGUAUGUUAAAGAAGAUGAAACUGCAUUUUGUACAUCAAACUGAAAUCAGAACUUGAAAUUACUUUCUUAUCUUAAGAUGGUAGAAUUGCAUGACACGUGUGAUAACAGAAAUGCUGGAGAACAGUACCAGGCAAGCCUCCUCGUUUGAUUGAAGACUGUCUGUCGGAACUACGCCACUUUAAAACCUCGGGUCCCUAAUAUUAAGUGAUGGAGACUUGAUACUUGCUCAUGAUCACAAAAAAUUAUGUUGGAGUUGCAACUUGCAGGGGUUCCAUCCUGGGCAACAGACCAGCCAAACUUAUUUCCUCAAGUUAAUCCAUUGCUUGCCUAGCAAAGUCAACAAUAAAAAUAAAAAAAGUUGUUCUCCUUACAGAUGCAUGAGGUUGCAUAGCAUUUUAAGAAGAGGGAGAAAAAUAUGUAGGUAUGUCUAUGCUGUGCAUGACUAUAGUCCAAUCCAAGCAAGCCUUUUAAACGAUCCAAUUGUUUAUGUAGAUUUUUUUUUUCUUUCUUUUAAUUUUCCUUGUCGUUACAGGAGUGUAUGGAAAGAAAAAAGGACAAGUAAAAGUCCAUUAAUGUGUGAAGUAUGGUGAGGAAGCAAUAAACCUUGGAUGUGAUUAUGGAGCAGAUAAACCAAGAAAGAAUACCUGAUUCUCUGUUUUUUUUUUCUCGUUCAAAUCCUGCAUAACAAAAAACUGAAGAAUCACAAUUUCCCCUUAGGAAGCCAUUUUAGGGAUGGACAAGCAGAAACUAACAACGCUUCAAGAAGGCACUGGUUACAAUCGCUGUCGUUCAACAUUGUCAUCAUUCCAUCGGGCAAUGAUCUCAGAGAAUCACAAUUUGUAAUCACAAGACUUUUGAGAGAGAGGGGCAAACCUGCUCCUUCAGAAAAGCACUCUAGUUUUCUGCAACCACGUAUUGUCAAGUCUCUGAGCGAUGUGAGGCUGCACAGCCCAUUUGCCAGCUUCCCCAAGUUACUACAGUCUUGCAUCUUACCAGAUAUAAACUUCGGGGAUGUGGGCAAUGAUGGACUAAUACUCUCCUCUCUCUUUCAAGCAUCGUUCCUCCAGAAGAGGGCUGUUACUUAUAUAUAAACAUCCAAGUGAGAGAGGGAAGCCCUCGCUGGGGAAGAACCGGAGUAUAGGGCACUCAAAAAUGUUUAAUUCUUCAAGGGAGGUGAGGUGUUGGAGGCCUCUGGAUAUCGAUUUAAGAUUCUUCAGAUUAGAGAUCUCAAGAUAAGUUAACGAAGUGGGAAGCAGCAGACCUUCAUCAUCCGGAAAGCGAUCCACAUCUAUUGUAGAUUUGACUGAGAAUCGUUUAAGAGAGGUGAGCAUGCGGAGUCCCCACUCUGACAGUGGCGAGGAAACACACAGCUCACCACUGAUUUGAGAUGCAGCCUUUCAUUUGGCCUCUCCACAGGCUUGUAAAGUACAGUUUGCCCGCAUAAAUGAACAUCAGACACCGAAUUGCAUCCAAGAAUAAUAGAAUGCCUAUAAGUCGCCUUCAUUUGUAUGUUAAAGAUGAUGAAACUGCAUUUUGUACAUCAAACUGAAAUCAGAACUCGAAAUUACUUUCUUAUCUUAAGAUGGUAGAAUUGCAUGACACCUGUGUGAUAAUAGAAAUGCUGGAGAACAGUACCAGGCAAGCCUCCUCGUUUGAUUGAAGACUGAAUGUCGGAACCUAAGCCACCUUAAAAUCUCGGAUGCCUAAUAUUAAGUGAUGGAGACUUGAUACUUGCUCAUGAUCACAACAAAUUACGUUGGAGUUGCAACUUGCAGGGGUUCCAUCCUGGGCAACAGGCCAGCCAAACUUAGUUCCUCAAGUUAAUCCAUUGCUUGCCUAGCAAAGCAAACAAUAAUAAUAAUAAAAAGUUGUUCUCCUUACAGAUGCAUGAGGUUGCAUAGCAUUUUAAGAAGAGGGAGAAAAAUAUGCAGGCAUGUUUAUGCUGUGCAUAUGUGGGCUAGUCCAAUCCAAGCAAGCCUUUUAAAUGAUCCAAUUGUUUAUGUAGAUUUUUUUCUUUCUUUUAAUUUUCCUUGUCGUUACAGGAGUGUAUGGAAAGAAAAAAGGACAAGUAAAAGUCCAUUAAUGCGUGAAGUAUGGUGAGGAAGCAAUAAACCUUGGAUGUGAUUAUGGAGCAGAUAAACCAAGAAAGAAUACCUGUUUCUCUGUUUUUUUUUUUCUCGUUCAAAUCCUGCAGAACAAAAAACUGAAGAAUCAACGGCAUCUUACGAGAUAUGAACUUGGGGAUGUGGGCAAUGAUGGGCCAAUAAUCUCCUCUCUCUUUCAAGCAUCGUUCCUCCAGAAGAGGGCUGCUACGGAUACGUAAACAUCCAAGUGAGUGAGGGAAGCCCUCUGGGGAAGAACUGGAGUAUAGGGCACUCAAAAAAUUUUAAUUCUUCAAGGGAGGUGAGGUGUUGGAGGCCUCUGGAUAUCGAUUUAAGAUUCUCCAGAUUAGAGAUCUCAAGAAAAGUUAACGAAGUGGGAAGCAGCAGACCUUCAUCAUCCGGAAAGCGAUCCACAUCUAUUGUAGAUUCGACUGAGAAUCGUUUAAGAGAGGUGAGCAUGCGGAGUCCCCACUCUGACACUGGCAGUGUAAUUUUGCAACUACUAAUUUCGAGUGAAGUCAGGUUAGGUGGCAAACCCCUCUCCGGUAAGGAAUCCAGACGAUGACAAUUAGAUAUCCUUAAAUCUUGAAGAGACUUGAGGCUAUCCAUGUGAGUGGGUAGGGACUUCAACUUUUCACAACUGCCUAUGGCAAGAGAGAUGAGAUUUGGGAGGGGCAAGCCCUCUAUGGGGAACCACUUCAACUCAUUACACCCAAAUAUCUACAACUCAGUGAGAUGGAAGAGGAAAUGCAGGGGUGGUAAUGACGGUAUUCUGCAAUUUAAAAUAGCAAGUUUCUUUAGAGAGAGAGGAAACUCGCCAGUUGGAAAGGAUGUGGCAGAUAAACACCGUAGUGUUAAAUGCUCAAGAUUAGAGCGAGACGUCUCCCUUGCAUCACGUUGCAAAAUCCCCUCCGGAAGAGACUCUUGGUCAUCCCAGGAAAUGUUCAAGAACUUGAGUGUUUUUGGCAACUUCCCCUUAGGAAGCCAUUUUAGGGAUGGACAAGCAGUAACUGACAACGCUUCAAGAAGGCACUGGUUACAAUCGCUGUCGUUCACCAUUGUCAUCAUUCCAUCGGGCAACGAUCUCAGAGAAUCACAACUUGAAAUCUCAAGACGUUUGAGAGAGAGAGGCAAACCUGCUCCUUCAGAAAAGCACUCUAGUUUUCUGCAACUACGUAUUGUCAAGUCUCUGAACGAUGUGAGGCUGCUCAGCCCAUUUGCCAGCUUCCCCAAGUUACUACAGUCUUCCACUGUCAAAACCUCAAGAUUGCAAGGCAAAAUCCCUUCCUCGCCCUCUACCAGAGACAUGAGCUGCUCACAUCUAGCGAUCCGUAAACGUUUUAAACUAGAAAGUUUGUCUAAAUCAAUCCCAUCUUGCCACAAGUACGUCAAUUCAUUACAAGAUCCAAGAUCAAGAUCUUCAAGCGCCACCAAGGCCUGCACGAGCUCUUCUUGUAAGCUUACAAGGCCGGAAAUUUGAAUUAACUGUAAGCUUGCGAGGGAUGUUAGAUCAGGCGCAGCUCUGAGAGCGAGAACCACCCCUUGACAUUUUUCAAUGCGAAGCUUUUUAAGGGAAGGAAGGCAACUUGGCAAAUCUCCAAUCAACCUCGGACAAUUUAUCAAGGUAAGCUCACUGAGUUUAGGAAAUUUUCCCAGAGUACUUUCAUUGACACCGUCAGACGAAAACCAUCGCUCCCACCCCAACAUAUCACUGAUGUAUAAAGUCUCAAGAGAUUGGAAAUCCUCAGCACACACUUCUUUCACCCCAUCCAUUCCUUCUAUGCUCAAAUGCCUUAGAGCAGGGAUUUUUCCAACCGAUGAAAGUGAUGUGAUCUUGGGACAUGUAAGAAGCUUUAGGUGCCCUAAUUUAGAAUAACAGCUAUCCCCUAUCCAUGAUGGAAACUCGGUACCGCCAUAUGAUGUAACUGAAAGCUUUUCUAGACUUCGUUGAGGCUUUAAUGAGUCGAGGACGUGCAGUUCAUUCCUUUCAUUUCGUAGUGGAUCAUCAAAAUUACUAAUCCAAUGCAAGGCUAAGUCACAUAGACCUGUCUUCUCUUUCAGAUUUGCAAGUUCUGCAUCUCGAACAUUCACCUUCUGCAACCCCUCUAUUUUAAGCUGCCCUUGUAAAUGCGAAAGCUUCAUCAGCUCCGUUAUCCCAAGCCCUUUUCCUUCUCCCACGAUAAACUUAGGCAACAUGCGAAGAUUUAUCAAUUUGCUUAUCUGCGGAGGCAUCUCCAGCAACCCAUCUGUAUCUCUAAUAUCAAGGCACUGCAAAUUAAUUAAAUUGACAACACAUGUGGGCAACUCAACAAGCUUCCGGCACCCACGUAACCUCAAAGUCUGCAAGUUGAAGAGUUCACCCAACGAUUCAGGUAAUCUUUUAAUCCAAGUAUAGGACAAGUUAAGGUAACGUAAACGCUUUAAGGUACCAGUAGAAUUUGGCAAUUCCUCUACAUAAUAACCAGCUAGUGACAAUGCCCUUAAACAUUUUAAUUUUGGCACUAAAUCAUCCAACACCUUGCUAGAUAAGUGAUUACGGCCAAACCGUGAUGAAUAAUUUGGCAAUGCUAAGAAUGUUCGCAAGUUCUUCAUUUCAUAGAAGACAUCAAAUCUUUGAGAAAUGUCAUGUCUAUGAGAAGUGAAUGAAGAGUGGCGAACUGCAGCAUAUGAUUCCACUGAGCAUGGUUCCUUCUUCGUGUCAUCCAAGUAAAAGCAUAUUUCUCCGCUUACGAACCGAGCAAGAUCACUUAUAAGAUCAUGCAUUAUAAAUCGUGAUAUGUUGCUACUAGAUCGUUGAAAAAACGACCUUGAUGAUAAAUCACGAAAAUAUUCAUGGCCUAAGUCUUCCAUGUGCUUCUUUUUCAUUUUUUGCUUCAGAAAACCCUCUGCCAUCCACAGGGAAACUAGCUCGCCCUCCUCGAACUCAUAAUCUUUAGGAAAGAUUGCGCAGUAAGCAAAACACUUCUUCAAAUGGGAAGGAAGAUGACUAUAGCUUAAUCUCAAAGCUGAAAGAAUGCCACUUUCAGUUUCUGGCAAAUUCCACAUCUCACUGCUCAAAAUGUCUUCCCACUCUUCAAGGUUCUGUUUAUGGCGUAAGAGUCCUCCAAGUGUCUCUGCAACCAAAGGCAAUCCUUUACAUUUUUCACUAUCUCUUCUCCUAUUUCUUUCAAUUCCAAAUGAGCAUCAAAAUUUCUGGAAUCCAAAGCAUGUUGGGUAAAUAUGCGUAGACAUUCAUCAAAUGAUAGCCUCUCCAAAGUGUAAGCACGAACAGAGCCCAUUUGUGAAGCAAUGUCUUCAAUACGAGUUGUGAUGAUGACUUUGCUCCCUCUUGCUCCUGCACUGAAGGGAAGAGAAAGGGCAGUCCAAUCAUCAUAGUUGUUACUCCAAACAUCAUCCAGCACUAUCAAAAACUUCUUUCCAGACAAUUUGUCCUUCAAUCUUUCUUGAAGAACAUUUAAAUCAACAUCUUCACACCUUGCCUGCUCUGAAGGGAAGCGAAAGUGCUGGAGGAUUGUUUUUGUUAUCCUCGGAAUGUCAAAAUCAUCAGAAACACAGACCCAUGCUUUGCAAUCAAACUUCACGCUCUCAUCAUUGUAGACAAGUUGAGCAAGAGUUGUCUUCCCGAUACCACCCAUUCCAAUAAUUGGAAUGACGGAGUACUCAAGGUUGCCAGCAUCAUCGUUCAUCAACAAUUCAAGUAUAGCUUUCUUGUCAUUAUCCCUCCCACAAACAUGGGAUUCUUUGACCAGAGAUGUAGUCAUCCUUUUUUUCACUCCCUUUGACCUCGUGAUUCCCACGUCGAGCUCAUUUUUCUCUUUAGCAAUUGCUUCUAGUCGUGUAGUUAUGUCCCGCAGCCGGGACCCCGUCCUCAUAUUAAGCUCAACAGCACUUGGAUUCAGACCAGCACAACAAGUUGGGAGGAGCUUCCGGACAGUACUGCUGCUGGCUUGAGAUUCUGCCCUCACCUUGCUUGCCAAAGCUUCUGUUUGAAACUCGUCCAGCACGUCCUCCACAUCAUAAGCCAAAUCUCGGAGCUUGGUAAGCCAGAUUGUCACAUUCGAACUUGUGAUUUGAUUCUCAUCUGCAUCAUUAAGAACUGCAUCAAUUUCUGACAGUCUUCGCUUCCACUUGUUAAGUUCUUUCUCCACUUGUGUUUUGCGUACGAAGUUCAGAAGGUCUCCAGAGGUUAACUUUCCAAGCAAAGGCUCAAGAAGAGGCCGAGAGAAAGACUUCUCCAACAACUUCCAUCCUGCUGAAUGAUGCCACAGAUAAGAUCAGAUUUUGGCCUAAACAUUGACGGUACUCUAACUCAAUAAUAAGAAAAAGCUAAAAUCCAGUGCUUCUGCUGUGUUGGGUGGAUGUUUACAUCAUUAACAAGUUAUCAAAUAUAUGAAAAAAUCACUUAAAUUAGCAAAACACAUGUCUGCAAUUUUCUGCAGAAUCAGCUAUGAACAGGGAGAGUUUUCUUUACACUAGAUUUUUCGUUCCCUGUCUUCUCUUUUACAAUUCCAGAAUAUUACAGCACUUUUAUGCUUCCAAAAUCUUAUCGCAUCCUUAUCCUUACACUUGCUCAUUUCAAUCACCACGUAAACUAACUCCAAUUACAUUGACUUGGCAUGCGUUACACUUAUUAAAGUUAAGGUUAUAACAUUCACAGCAUAAACCCCAACAGUAUCAGAAGCCAAUGAACAAAAAAAAACACUGAACCCAGUUUAUGAAACUAAAUAUAGGUUAGGUUAUCAUCGAAGAAUUAUGUCAUCAGCUUUUCAAACUUGCAAAACUACCCAGUAAUGAUAUAGUUUAGCAGAGUUUAAAAGAUGAAAAAGAAACUAGUAGCCAAAUUGUGGCUAGAGAGACCAAACGAUAGAUAUAGCAUUCUUCUGUGCAUUACCUGUUUUACACCGAGCAGCAAAUCGAUCUGUAAGUCUCUUGAAAACGGUAGAUCCGUACUCUUUAGAAAAUAACCUUAGGUACUGUGGCAAAAGAAGAAGGCAAAGAAUGUGAAGGGGAGAGACAGAGAGCACUGAUUGAGGAGCAACUAGUAAAGACAGAAGACACAAAAAUAAAACAAAGGAGCGUACGCAUGGUCUUGGCUUCUUUACAGCACAAAUAAUUGAAAUAAAAUAUUAUAAAAUGGUCAUUGUUGCUGGCUUCAGAAGCUUUUCAAGUUCAACAAUUAUAUUAUAAAACUAAAAUAUGGACCCGCCCUUAUGAAAUUCACUUGUCUCUCACUCUAGAAUUUUACGGUAGCAAUACCUCCACUAAAAAAAAAGAUGUCAGAAAAAAAAAAAAAAAAAAACAUUGAUAAGAUUCCAAUUCUUUUAAUUGCCGAACAUCCGCGUCUUUGAAGCACCAGGAAAGUAUCAAAUGGUCUAAUGGAGUUGAGGACUUGAUAGUCAGCUUAUAGCGGAAAGAAAAUAAAUUUGGAUUUCCUAAGCCUUUAUAUUAUAGCUAUAUUAAUCAUUAUGAAUGCCAAAAUUUUCUUAACUAUUUUAAAAAAUAACAUGCAAAACUAUUUAAAUAGUAAAUUAAACCGAUUUAAUUAAUAAAAUUCAAUUCAAAUAAAAAUCUGAAAUAUAAUUAUGAAAACAAUUUGAAAAUAACAAGAAAAAUAAAUAAAAUUCGAAGUGAACAACUUCUAAACCUAAUUUCGACAUGUUCUUGACCUUAGUUAGUGCUAGCAAAGUUUCAAGACUUGAUACUUGAUAGUACUGUUUAUUUCCAAGCACCCAACAAAGUUUCAAGAUUUUAAAUUGAGGAAACUUGCUAGAAGGUUGCUAGUUGAAAACUGUAAAGGCUACCCGAAGAACCCAUCUUGGCUCUGUCAUAUUCUCCACUAUUAUUCUUUUUAAAAAGUUUAAAGGGGGACGCUAUUUCCUCGCACACAGGAUGUGACUUUGCAGUUUGCACAUGGUGCUGGGGCAUCUCUGUCUUUCUCCGUCCAAUGCCAUUCCAUUGGCUCCAUCUUUCUUUUCCCUCGCCGCCUAUGUCACCAACCUCAAUGGGAAAUGACAUUAAGGCCCGUUUGUUUGCAGGAAAGUGAAUUCUUUUUGGAAAAUGAAUUCCGGAGAAAAUGAAUUUUUGAAAAGUGAAUUCCCGAAAAGUAUUUUUCGAUGUUUGGUAGUGUUAUGGAAAACACUUUCCAGUGUUUGGUUGUGUUAUGGAAAAUAAAUUGAAAAAUAAUUUAUUAAUAAAUUAAUUUUUUUUUUCAAAUUUAUCUAAUAUAUAUAAAAUAUUUAAUCACUUACAAUAAAAAAAAUAAAAUCUAAAAUGUAUAAUGAUGAUUUUUUUUUAUUAUAUUCUAUAUUCAUACAUAGCUUAUUUUAUAAAAUAUAACUAUAUAUAUCAUAUCAUAUUAUAAAGAAAUAAGCUUGUGAAAUAUUUUUUACUAUUCUAUGAAACCAUUUAUAAUUUCAUUAUGUACGAAAUACAUCCGACAAAAACUAUAGUUUUAAUAAUAUUUGUAGCAUGUAAUAAAAUUGGAUAAAAUAUUAAGGUAUAAAAUUCACUCUAAACUAUUUUUUUUUAAUGUUAAAAAAAUAACACACUAAAAAAAUAAAAAUAAAGUCCCCGCAGGCAAGUGAACAGUGCACUAAAACUGUACUGUUCACUAUUUUUUUAGUGAACAGUGUAUGCAAUACACUAUUCAUGUUAAUUGCACUGUUCAAUGAACAGUUACAGAAAAAAACAUGACAACGCAGUAUUGGCCCACAUCAGGAAAGUGUUUUCCGAUAAUUAAAAGCGGAAAACACUUUCCUUAUGUUAAACUUAACAUUUUUCUUUGACUGAAAUUAUAUUUUCUUUGACUCAUUUUCCAUGUAUUGCCAAACAUGAAAAAAUAAGGAAAAUAAUUUUCAGGAAAUUGAAUUCCUGGAAACAAACGGGGCUUAAAUUAUAUGAUUUAGUGAGCUUUUUUUAUGACCGUAUAAAUCUAUUUAUAAUAAAUAAAAUAUGUAUAUUAUCGAAACUAACUCGAAACUAUAAACACCCCUCUGUGAUAUACAAAUGAUUUGUGACUAUCCAUUUACAAAAUCCCUGCUAAGCUGCUAACAAUUAUUUUCAUGGUGGGGCUUGCAUCUCAACGACUUUGCACAUGGUGGUGGGGCUUGCAUCUUUGUCUUUCUCCACGCAUUUCAAUGCCACCGAAGAACCCAUCAUGGCUCUGUCAGAUUCUCCUUCCAUUGCCAUUCCAUUGGCUCCAUCUUUCUUUUCCCUCGCCACUACAGCCAAGGAUGGAGUCUAUGAGAUGAUAUGUAAAAACUUUAUUUGUUUGUUUUCAGUAGACAUUAUUUGCUCUAUUAUUGCAGGGUGUUUAAUCGUAAUGUAUAUUUUAGCUUUUAAACACUGGCGUUGGCCCAUUCUAAGUAUGAUUUGUAAUGUCUUUUAAUAGAUUUAAGACUUGUACAUCUCAUCGUAUACUUCAAAAAAUAUAGAAAGGAUCCCCUUAAGCAGACUACAGGUCUAGGGAAAAAUUUAAAACAUUCUGUAUGGGUCUAACGCCCAUGGUUAGGUUACAAAUGAAAGUAAAGGAGAGCGCAAGAAAUUGCGUUUUAAAAAAAAAAGGUAAAAAAAGAGUGGGUGCUGUUGCCUUCUACCAUUUCUUCUGAAAUAAAGGAAACAAAAAUUUCAAGAAAAAUCUCCUACAGACAAGGGGGUAGGGCAUGCUGGAAAAAUAAUCUGCUGCCAUAAUCCAGAAAGAAGCUAGACAGAAAAGGCCACUCGGGUUCAAAAUCCCAGCCAUCAAGAUUGAACAUCAACUUGAAACCCAUAAUAAACUGAAAUCAAGUAGACAAAAGUUUGACUAAUCCACCUCCACUUCCAAGAAUAUUGCUAUUUGGUGAGCUCAUCGUCUUCGCAUCCCCCGUCCACGGCCACGGAAACCACCUCCCCCACGUCCACCCAUAGCACCUGCAGCAGCUUCUCCCUGUGCGCUUUCAGACUGCAACAUCAUAUAUGAUGGGAAACAAUCAGCUUAAAAACAGAAAUGCAUGAAUAGAGAGGUUCAUGUUAUUUUCAGAUCCGAUUUAACUUGGCACAAGCUCCACAUUUUGAUCUGAUAUGAACAUUAAUACAAGCAUUUAAAACACUUUUUUGAAUGCAGAGUGACAGAAAUAUCUUAACAUGCAUUAUGUUGUAGCAUAUUUCACUAGUACUUUGAAUAACCACGGUAAAUAUAUUAGCUAAAAUAAGUGUGGCAACUUAUUAUACAUAGAAGAAAACCACCAUUAUCCGAGGAACUCAAAAUAAUAUUUCAUUUCAAACCACAGCAAAGUAGGUAUUAACUUUACCUUGGGAUUCUUUACUGUCUCAUCCACACUUAAAAUAAGACAAGCAGCCUCCGUAGCAGCAUUUAUAGCAUUGAUCUGGGUCAAGGAUUUCAAUCACAUACAAGUCAGCAGGCAGAAAUGAAAAGAGCAACAGUUUAAUUCAUCGAUAAUCAGUAUUCAUAAUCAAAUUGUUGAAGAUAGACACGCACCUUCACAACGGAAGGCUCCCAAACAAAGUUUGAAAAUGAAUCUGCAAUUCCACCGGUGUUGAUAUCCACUCCAUACGGUGCACCCUCACCUGUAAUAAAAGCAUUCAAGCAAUGACAUAUGAAACAUAUUUCAAAAGGCAAUUCCAACAAGUUAAAGACCUACCAGAUGGAAGUGCAUGUUUCUGCCUUAUUUUGUUCAGCACAUCAGUUGCAUCAAACCCGGCAUUAUCACAUAGUUGUCGUGGGAUAACCUGCAACAUGAGUGCAGUAUACCUUGUUAAGUUUAUAAUCUAAACCCAUACUUUAAUCUAAAAUGUUUUGUGGUGCAACAUCAAUACAAAAAAAAGGUCCUACACCUCUCAUUUUGUUCACCAGGGAGUGAUAGACUAGCUAACUCUCGCAUGAAAACAUUUGCAUGGAAUGCUCAACAAUGGGAGUUGGAAUCAGCUGUGCUACAUUUUUUAGUUACUUUUCAACCAAGCACAUAACCACAGGGAGGAAUGACGUCAUAGAAGAGGGGCUAACAAAGUAUUGCAUUAGAAAUAUGGGAAAACAUUAUGAUGUGGCUUUUCACCAAUGCAAUAGCAGGUCAAAUACAUAAUCUUUCAAACAUUUUUAAUAUAAACUAAGCAAGCUCGCAAAAUUGAUUCCCUAGCAAAUCAAGAUUGGUAGAUCAUAAUAAAGACGGUCAUUUUCACAAUUUUGAAACCACAUGCAUGCAUGAAGUCCAUGCCACAAAGGUUGAAUAUUUAAUAUUACCACACUUCUGGUUAAUUACCUCAAGGGCUUUUGCAUAAGAGUUGAUAAACAGAACUCAAAAACAAUCAGAACUCAAAGCUGAUACAAAAGGAAAUUUUAUUGACAUCCCACCGGUAAAAUAUUAGAAUUAUCUGAAUACAAAAAAGACAUAUUCAAGAAUGACUCGAAAGAACAUUUAACCUAUUUAAUACAUUUAACUAAGGUUUUAUUCCGUAAACCUAUAUGUUUUGAACGAACUAGUCAAUUUUCUUAAAAAUCCAAAAUUUAACGGUUUUCUCGAAAUCUAAUCCAUAAUAAAACAAUAAAUAAGACUUGAUAAUAAUUCACUAAAUAACCAUCAUUUAUUCAUCAAACCAAUCCGAAAAAUCUAAUAUUACAACUAGGGACAAUUUGAAAUUUAUCAUAUUUUUAGGGCCAAAUUAUAAUUUUCGUAUAAUUGAAGGAUCAAACUAAAAAUAUCAUAAAUUCAUGACUAUAGUGGAAUUAUGUCCAUAAUUCAUCCUCAUUUAUGUCCAGAAUCCCUAAUUAUGUUCCAGGGACCAUUCUGGAAUUUUUCUGAAUUUUUAGGGUCAAAUUGUAAUUUUUAUCAAAUGGAGGACCAAACUAAAAUUGUCAUAAUUAAAUACAUGACUAUACUGAAAUUCUGACCAUAAUUAAUCCUCAAUUCUGUCCAGAAUAUCUCAUUAUGCUCCAGGGACCAUUCUAGAAUUUUACAAAAAUUUUAUGGUCAAAUGGUAAAUUUUGUCAAAUUAAAGGACCAAAUUGAAAGUGUUUAAAAUUCAUAAAUCCUGAUGCUAUACUUGAUCAAACCAAUAUUAUCUUGCUAGGAUCGAACUCUUUUAACAGUCAAAGCGAUGACGAAAUGAAGGUUGUUGAGUUUCAAUUAACAAUUACUGCCUGACGAAGAAAAUUCCUCUGUACAGUGAUGUUUUUUUUCUUGAUAUCAACAAUCUACUAAUAUAAAGUUCUUGUGCGUGUGCAAUGGCGCUCUGGAGUGCCCCAUUUCAAAUGGAAGAUGCUGAAAUCUGAUAAAAAUAUUAAUGCAGAUCCAAUAAAACAAUUUAUUCCCAACCAUUUUUUUUUUGUUUUUCCCCUUAAUCCCAGCUAGGGGAUUAGGUAUAGGAGUACUAAAUUGCUAGAAUGAAAGUGUCACAUAUGCUUUGGUGCUUUUAGGAGACACAGGAAGCAGGUUUCCUACAGGUUGACGUUUUCUUAGCCACAACAAUAACUCCGAGAAAAAAGAGUUAGAGGGAAAAAAUCCAAAUAAAAAAACCACAACAAUAACACAGACACAAAGAGCACAUACAUCCACAUGAACGCUAGAUUUUACGUGGAAAACCACGGGACCAACUCCGAGAAAAAAUCCACUAUAACAAAGGUUUAACAGCAUUUGAUUCUCACAGGAACAAAUUCCUCACCCUUUCCAACAAUAUUAAGUGAUGGAGACUUGAUACUUGCUCAUGAUCACAAAAAAUUAUGUUGGAGUUGCAACUUGCAGGGGUUCCAUCCUGGGCAACAGACCAGCCAAACGUAGUUCCUCAAGUUAAUCCAUUGCUUGCCUAGCAAAGUAAACAAUAAUAAUAAUUAAAAGUCGUUCUCCUUACAGAUGCAUGAGGUUGCAUAGCAUUUUAAGAAGAGGGAGAAAAAUAUGCAGGCAUGUUUAUGCUGUGCAUGACUAUGUGGACUAGUCCAAUCCAAGCAAGCCUUUUAAAGGAUCCAAUUGUUUAUGUAGAAUUUUUUCUUUCUUUUAAUUUUCCUUGUCGUUACAGGAGUGUAUGGAAAGAAAAAAGGACGAGUAAAAGUCCAUUAAUGCGUGAAGUAUGGUGAGGAAGCAAUAA
rnacentral:lncRNA from 1 species